rnacentral:rRNA from 1 species
GACGAACGCUGGCGGCGUGCCUAAUACAUGCAAGUCGAACGCACAGUUUAUACCGUAGCUUGCUACACCAUAGACUGUGAGUUGCGAACGGGUGAGUAACGCGUAGGUAACCUGCCUGGUAGCGGGGGAUAACUAUUGGAAACGAUAGCUAAUACCGCAUAAUAUUAAUUAUUGCAUGAUAAUUAAUUGAAAGGUGCAAUUGCACCACUACCAGAUGGACCUGCGUUGUAUUAGCUAGUAGGUGAGGUAACGACUCACCUAGGCGACGAUACAUAGCCGACCGGAGAGGGUGAUCGGCCACACUGGGAGUGAGACACGGCCCAGACUCCUACGGGAGGCAGCAGUAGGGAAUCUUCGGCAAUGGACGAAAGUCUGACCGAGCAACGCCGCGUGAGUGAAGAAGGUUGUCGGAUCGUAAAGCUCUGUUGUAGGAGAAGAACGGGUGUGAGAGUGGAAAGUUCACACUGUGACGGUAUCUGACCAGAAAGGGACGGCUAACUACGUG